CGCGCGGUAGAGCAGAGGUCAGCUCGCCAGCUUCAUAAGCUGGAGGUCGCAGGUCCGAAUCCUGCCCGCGCAAUCA
rnacentral:tRNA from 1 species